AACGAACGCUGGCGGCAUGCCUAACACAUGCAAGUCGAACGAGACCUUCGGGUCUAGUGGCGCACGGGUGCGUAACGCGUGGGAACCUGCCCUUAGGUUCGGAAUAACUCCCCGAAAGGGGUGCUAAUACCGGAUAAUGUCUUCGGACCAAAGAUUUAUCGCCUUUGUUUGGUCCUGCGUUGGAUUAGCUAGUUGGUAGGGUAAAAGCCUACCAAGGCGACGAUCCAUAGCUGGUCUGAGAGGAUGAUCAGCCACACUGGGACUGAGACACGGCCCAGACUCCUACGGGAGGCAGCAGUGGGGAAUAUUGGACAAUGGGCGAAAGCCUGAUCCAGCAAUGCCGCGUGAGUGAUGAAGGCCUUAGGGUUGUAAAGCUCUUUUACCCGGGAUGAUAAUGACAGUACCGGGAGAAUAAGCUCCGGCUAACUCCGUG
rnacentral:rRNA from 1 species